rnacentral:rRNA from 1 species
AACGAACGCUGGCGGCAGGCUUAACACAUGCAAGUCGAGCGCUUCCUUCGGGAAGAGCGGCGGACGGGUGAGUAACGCGUGGGAACGUGCCCUUUUCUACGGAAUAGCCCUUGGAAACGAGGAUUAAUACCGUAUACGCCCUUUCGGGGGGAAAGAUUUAUCGGAGAAGGAUCGGCCCGCGUUAGAUUAGGUAGUUGGUGGGGUAAUGGCCUACCAAGCCGACGAUCUAUAGCUGGUUUGAGAGGAUGAUCAGCCACACUGGGACUGAGACACGGCCCAG